rnacentral:rRNA from 1 species
UACGUAGGGUGCGAGCGUUAAUCGGAAUUACUGGGCGUAAAGCGUGCGCAGGCGGUGAUGUAAGACAGAUGUGAAAUCCCCGGGCUCAACCUGGGAACUGCAUUUGUGACUGCAUCGCUGCAGUGCGGCAGAGGGGGAUGGAAUUCCGCGUGUAGCAGUGAAAUGCGUAGAUAUGCGGAGGAACACCGAUGGCGAAGGCAAUCCCCUGGACCUGUACUGACGCUCAUGCACGAAAGCGUGGGGAGCAAACAGG